GUAACGGCGAGUGAAGCGGCAACAGCUCAAAUUUGAAAUCUGGCCUUCCGGUCCGAGUUGUAAUUUGCAGAGGAUGCUUCGGGCGCGGUGCCUUCCAAGUCCCCUGGAACGGGGCGCCGGAGAGGGUGAGAGCCCCGUACGGUUGGCGGCCAAGCCUGUGUGAAGCUCCUUCGACGAGUCGAGUAGUUUGGGAAUGCUGCUCUAAGCGGGAGGUAGACCCCUUCUAAAGCUAAAUACCGGCCAGAGACCGAUAGCGCACAAGUAGAGUGAUCGAAAGAUGAAAAGCACUUUGAAAAGAGGGUUAAACAGCACGUGAAAUUGUUGAAAGGGAAGCGCUUGCGACCAGACGUGCGCCGGGGUGCUCAGCGGGCGUUCUCGCCCGUGCACUCGCCCCGGCGCAGGCCAGCGUCGGUUUGGGCGGGGGGAUAAAGGCGUCUGGAAUGUGGCUCCCCCGGGAGUGUUAUAGCCAGGCGUGCCAUGCCUCCGCCCGGACCGAGGUACGCGUUCUGCAAGGACGCUGGCGUAAUGGUCCCCAGCGACCCGUCUUGAAACACGGACCAAGGAGUCGAGGUUUUGCGCGA
rnacentral:rRNA from 1 species